rnacentral:rRNA from 1 species
GACGUGACUCCAAUUGAACGCAGGCUUCACCCCUUGUGGUGCUCCCCCGCCAAUUCCUUUAAGUUCAUACUUGCGUACGUACUUCCCAGGCGGCAGACUUAACGGCUUCCCUGCGGCACUGCAUUGGCCACAAGCCAAUGCAUCACCGAGUCUGCAUCGUUUACAGCUGGGACUACCCGGGUAUCUAAUCCGGUUUGCUCCCCCAGCUUUCAUCCCUCACCGUCGAACGUGUUCUGGUACACCGCCUUCGCCACAGGUGGUCUUCAAUAGAUCAAAGGAUUUUACCCCUUCCUAUCGAGUACCGUGUACCUCUCCCACUCCCUAGCUGCACAGUAUUUUCGGCGGCCUAUACGUUAAGCGCAUAGAUUUAACCGAAAACUUAUGCAACCGGCUACGGAUGCUUUAGGCCCAAUAAACCUCCUGACCACUCGAGGUGCUGGUUUUACCGCGGCGGCUGACACCAGAACUUGCCCACCCCUUAUUCACCAGUGAUUCUACAACUGACAAAAGACUCCUUUAGNNCCCCCCCAAAAAAAAAAAAGGGGGGGCGGGGGGGGGAAAAAAAAGGGGG